GAUGAACGCUGGCGGCGUGCCUAAUACAUGCAAGUCGAACUUGAUUUUCGGAUUGAGUGGCGAACGGGUGAGUAAGACAUAGGUAAUCUGCCUUCAAGAGGGGGACAACAGCUGGAAACGGCUGCUAAUACCGCAUAACAUAUAUUUGUGGCAUCACAGAUAUAUCAAAGGAGAAAUCCGCUUGAAGAUGAGCUCGCGUCCCAUUAGCUAGUUGGCGGGGUAGAGGCCCACCAAGGCGACGAUGGGUAGCCGGACUGUGAGGUUGAACGGCCACAUUGGGACUGAGACACGGCCCAGACUCCUACGGGAGGCAGCAGUGGGGAAUAUUGCGCAAUGGGGGAAACCCUGACGCAGCAACGCCGCGUGAUUGAAGAAGGCCUUCGGGUUGUAAAGAUCUUUAAUCAGGGACGAAGGAAGUGACGGUACCUGAAGAAUAAGCUCCGGCUAACUACGUGCCAGCCGCCGCGGUAAUAC
rnacentral:rRNA from 1 species